rfam:Thermoplasmatales archaeon I-plasma AMDT3_IPLC00004, whole genome shotgun sequence.
GGGCUCGUGGUCUAGCGGCUAUGACGUCGCCCUUACAAGGCGGAGACCGCCGGUUCGAAUCCGGCCGGGCCCA